UACCAGCACCCCGAGUGGUCGGGACGAUUAUUGGGCCUAAAGCAUCCGUAGCCGGUUUUACAAGUCCUCCGUUAAAUCCAGCUGCUCAACAGAUGGGCUGCGGAGGAUACUAUAAGACUAGGAGGCAGGAGAGGCAAGCGGUACUCAGUGGGUAGGGGUAAAAUCCGUUGAUCCAUUGAAGACCACCAGUGGCGAAGGCGGCUUGCCAGAAUGCGCUCGACGGUGAGGGAUGAAAGCUGGGGGAGCAAACCGG
rnacentral:rRNA from 1 species